rnacentral:lncRNA from 1 species
GAUGUGGUGGUGGUGUGACCGAGCCAUGCUUGUGCCACCGCCUUGACGAUUUCGAGCUCUUGUUCUUCGGGUUGUUCAAUGUUUUUCUUCAUAGUGUUUUGGAGUAGUAAUAAGGUGUGAAAAGGUUUGUUUUGGGGCCAUGGUUAUGGCUAUAUUUUUCCUAUCUUUUGGACAGAAUGAGAGCCUCACAUGAUUGAAUUUAAAAGAAGAUAAAUGUCACAAAAUCAAUGCCCAUAAAAUGGUGUAGCUUAUAGGUUAGCCCCACAACUUCAAAUGUAUGGAAAAUAUGAAGGCCACGUCAUUAUAUUAUAUUAUAUUGUAUUUGAAAUCUCAACUUAAAAUAUAUUAAAAAUAAAGAAAAGUCAAGUGAAUGUAUGAUGAGAAAUAACCAUAUAACGGUUUUUUCUACUCAUUAAAUAGUUGAUUUUUUUAGCUGGGGACUAAUUAUAAAAUAAAAAUAUUUUAGAUUAAUUCUAACAUGUAAUAAGAAGCGUAUUUAGGUAUCAGAUUAAUUAUAACAUGUAAUAAGAAGAGUAUUCGGGUAUCAAAUUAAUUAUAAAAAAAAUUCAUUAGUUUUGGGCGUGCAAUGAGAUAAGCAUUCAGAUAUGAGAUUAAUUUGGUGGUUUCGAAGUUAGAACUGGUAUUAUAUGAAGUGAUACCAGCUCAUGACUGAUAGCUUGAAACCAUAGUUAUCGAUAGCGAAUAGCGGUGAAUAGUGACAGACUACCUAUAUGCUACGUAGUGAUAGCGAUGAAAUAGCGCCCACUAUUUCGUGUUUAGCGAUAAGGUAGUAGAUAAUUCAAAAAAUAAAAAAACAGCAAUUUAUAAUUUAUUUAUGUAUUUAUAGUCUUAAUUUUAUACUUUUUAUGCAUAAAUUAAAAAGUUUAAGGACCAAAUGUAAACUACAUAGAGGGGGUUAAAUGUUUAAAUACAUAAACUACUUUUACACUUUUUAAGUAAAAAAAAAAAUACAAGUUUUUUAAGGACUGAAUGUAAACAGUGAAAGAUAGAGGUGUUAAAUGUUCUAAAUACCUAAACUUAUUUAAACCCUAAAAGCCUAAAACACUCAUAUACACAGCCGCUCUCUUUUUCUUCCCCAUUCUUCCUGGUUUCCGGCUGAAAACAGCACCGUUUCCGGAAUUCGCGUCGGAAGUUGCUAUAUCGUCGCUAUGUGGUCGAUAUGUACCUUCUGGCGGCAUAUGACCGCCACGCCACGCUAUAGCAGCCGCCACAGACGCUAUUAAUAAUUAUGCUUGUAACCAAUCACGUACCCGUUUACAACUUUAAAGCCAUAUACAAUAUACAAUAAAAUGUUAUAUGAUUUUAAAAAAUAAAUAAAUAGGAUUUUAACUUUAUUGAGAACUUGAAACUAUGAUAAAUAUAGUAUCGUUGUAAAUGUAAUUGAGUGUUUGAUAUUUUUAAGUUGCUUUUUGUGUGAGUUCAAGGUAAGAUUUCAGGUUACACGGGUAGUUUUUUACUUCAAAAGAAUGAAACCCGCAAACAGAAAUGAACAGGAACCAAACAUACAGUGGUGAAACUUGACCCGGAUGACGCGAGGGGGAGGGAGGCGAAAACGUAUAUACCAAAAAAUUUCUAUUAGAAAACUACAUAUAUAACACUACUGAGUGAAAAGUUCCCUCCCCCCCCCCCCACCCCCCCCCCCUUUAUACUUCGCCCCUGCCAACAUAUAUGAAACACAGUUUUACAGUCGGGCAAAGCCGCAAAAGACAUCGAAUACUAAUCCCUAGUUUUAACUCAAACCUUUAGAUAAUAAAAUACCAAAUGCAUAAAUAUUAUUACAAGUAAACACAAGUCACAACUAUGCCUCAAUACUUGGCUGCAUACAAGUAAACACAACUAUGCCUCAAUAAUGCACUGCAUAAUUCAUGUCUAAACAUAACUUUGUGAAGAUAUACAAAUUAUUUGAAUUCAAAAUUAUGCAACCAACUUCUACUUCUACAUAAUUCAUACACCAAAUCAUUGAACAGACCCAAAAAUACUAGAAAUCGAUUUGUGUUUACGAACAUGAGGCGGCGACUUAAACAACAAAUCUUUCGCCUCAAGUUCUCUACCUUCAUCAAGCAAGCUCUGAAACAUGUUCUGGUACGCUGAAACCGCAGGGCUUUGUUUAAAACUUGAAGUUUUCAAGAACUCCAAAGCAUUAUCAACCGAUCCAUGUUUCGAAACAUACCCGAUAAACGCCUCAGAAAACGGUGGGUAGUCGUGUUUUUUCAUCAACCUUAAAAGCUCCAAAGAUUCAUCAAACUUGUUCUCGGAUAACAGAUUUUGAAUCAGAUUUUUGUAAGUUGCUUGCCAUGGUUUCACCCCACCACUCUUGACCAUUUCGGUUAGUAGUUCGUACGCGCUGACGGUUUUCUUUUGACCCAAAAACGCGUUUGUUAAAACGUCUAAAAGAUCUGCGUCGGCUUCACAUCCUUUCUCUACCAUGUUCGAUAAAAAUACAACGGCUUUAUCAACUUCAUUGGCGGAACAAUGUCCUUGAAUGAGAAUCGUCCAUGUUUUGACGUCGGGGAUGCACGCGUUUUGUUCCAUUACGUCGAUCACGUUUGCGGCUUCUUCUAGCUUUCGGGCUUUACAAAGCCCGAAGAUCAACUGGCUGUAGGUUAUGUUAUCGGGAGCGUAUCCCGCAUCUUUCAUCGCUAACACAAUCUUUUCGGCUUCUUCAAACUGACCCACGCUCGUUAACGAUCUAUGAAUACCGUCAUAAACGUUCUUCGAAAGAGAGUUACCCUUGGAUUCAAAUUUCUUCACGACGCGAAACACAAGAUCCAAAUUAGGCGAACUACUACCCGCGAUGGUUCGUAAAAGCACACCGCAAUCUUGACCCGAUGGCGUGUACGGGCUAUCCAUCAUACGCUCGUAAAGCGCAACCGCGUCUUCCAACAUCUUCCGUUUUUGAAACAAUCUCGUAAUCUUUAAAUACGUAUCGAGAUCCAUUUCAUACCCAUCCCUUUUCAUUUCACCAAACACGUUCCAAAACUGUUCGAUCGACUCCUCCCGACCAAGAACGCGCAAAAUCGCAUUGUACGUAACCGCAUUAUGCUCAAUCCCGAAACCCUCACUAACCCAUUUGAAAAACCCUAAUGCCUUCAAAGGGUAUGUUCUUAACCCCUUCAAAACCCGAAGAACGAAAUUAUCCGAAACCUUAAACCCGAAAUCCAUCCGUUUCAACCUCUCCUCAACCCCAUUUCCCCAACCCGAAUCAUCCUCCGAUUCGACCACAACACCAACAACUUCCUUAACAACAUCAUCAACAACAUUAUCCUUCCCCAUAGAAUUAACAAAUUUCGUAAAAACCGAAACCUCGCUAACCAUAUUCAACUUCUUAAAAUCCCUAACAAUCAACAAAUAAGCCUGAUCAUCAACAAACAACCCCUGUUCUUUCAUCCUAUGAACCGUAACCCAAAACUGUUUAAUCGAAUCUUUAUUCGCAUAAACCCGAAGCAUCAAGCUAUAAAUUUGGGAACUUGGUUCAAACCCUGAUUGACCCACAACAAAAUUAAAGAAAUUGGAUGCUUUUUGAGGGUCUUUGGAUAGUUUCUUCAACACAUAUAUUACGGAUUCAUGGGAAAAAUUGGGUCUUGAAUUUAACAAUUGUUGUUCAAGAUUGUUAGACCAGUUUUGGGAUAAUAUGAGAUCAAGGGUUUGUUGUGGGUUUGAAGAAAAGAAGAGUUUUGUGUGGUGAAAUGGGUAGCGAGUUGGCGAGUCGGAGUGAACUCAGUAGUCUUUUUGUUGGAUUCAUGGCUGCUGCGAUUGAAGAUGUGAAGAAGGUGGAGAAAGGGGUGAAGGGUUAUUGA